UGGGGAAUAUUGGACAAUGGGCGCAAGCCUGAUCCAGCAAUGCCGCGUGUGUGAAGAAGGCUUUCGGGUUGUAAAGCACUUUUAUUGGGGAAGAAACGCGUCUGUUUAAUAGAUGGGCGUACUGACGGUACCCAAGGAAUAAGCACCGGCUAACUCCGUGCCAGCAGCCGCGGUAAUACGGAGGGUGCAAGCGUUAAUCGGAAUUACUGGGCGUAAAGCGUGCGUAGGCGGCUCGUUAAGUCUGCUGUGAAAGCCCCGGGCUUAACCUGGGAAUGGCAGUGGAUACUGGCGGGCUAGAAUUCGGUAGAGGAUCGUGGAAUUCCUGGUGUAGCGGUGAAAUGCGUAGAUAUCAGGAGGAACAUCGAUGGCGAAGGCAGCGAUCUGGGCCUGAAUUGACGCUGAGGUACGAAAGCGUGGGGAGCAAACAGGAUUAGAUACCCCCGUAGUCC
rnacentral:rRNA from 1 species